GCCGGGCGUGGUGGCUCAUGCCUGUAAUCCAAGCACUUUGGAGGCCAAGGCGGGUGGAUCACUUGAGGUCGGGAGUUCAAGAGCAGCCUGACCAACAUGGUGAAACCCCGUCUUUA
ensembl:misc_RNA Metazoa_SRP Metazoan signal recognition particle RNA